rnacentral:lncRNA from 1 species
AAAUAUAUAUAAAAUAUAGACUUAUCAAAUACCCCCAAACCUAUCUUUUGCUAGUCCUCGAGUAAAACUGAAAAUCAAAAAUAAAUUAAAACAAACAAACUAAAUUAAACCACUUUCGUAGGUAAUCUCGAUGGCACUUAGCAUGUGCCACAAGCCUUUAAACCUCUAGGUGUCCCUAGUAGGAGGAGUUGUGUCUCCUGAGGGUUUACCAGUCACGACACCCACAAACACUUCUUGCAAAACAAAUUCGUUAAAGCAAUACUUCCAACAAACUAAUAAUAACCAAUGAACGCCAAUCACAGUUCAAAAACCAAAGUUAUGCCACUACAAAUAAAAUGCACCAUAGUGUAAAGUGUAAAGCCAAAACUCCAAGCAUUCAAACAUAAAGAUAACCACAUUCGGCGUGUGUACAAAUUCGUCUCAACUCUAGGCCUCACAGGAUAACUCUCAAUUUUCUCACAUAACCUAGGGUUGCACUCUUACCCCGCAUAUGUGAAUGAAGUUAGGUGAAGAAUUCAAAAUAUAAGACACAUAUGCAUCCAAAAAUGAAUAAAAGGCAAUUUCUAAAAAUAGAACUCAUGGAAAGGAAAUCAAAUACUAAAAACCAUAGAUGAAGUACAUACCUCUACUUCCGAGUAAGAAGCCCCCAAAAAUCCGUUAGGUCUUUACUAUGGUUGUAAUGAAGGGCUAGGUUAUGGGUUAUGAAAGAAAGGGAAGGAAAUACUAGAACUUGAAACAUACCAAGGCAUUUAUCACGUUAUAAGGCUCGGCUCUUCAAAUUUACUUCACAGAGGCGUCUAGGAUUUUUGAUAUGCUUUACAUUUUUUUUUCUUUAAUAGAUUUCUCUCUUUUUGUUUUUUUUGUUUUUUUUGUUUUUAUUUAUUUAUUUAUUUUUAAGCACAUAUUUCCUCGGUACACGCCACCUCUUUUGUUGAUGUAGAGAUUAACCUUCAUCCUUGUCUUCAUGCCAUGGCAUAUCCCAAGUUAUAGGGUAUGGCUAAAAAUAGGGUGAAAAGGGUAAGGAAAUAUUGUGGGUGAUGAAAGAAAAGGCUAAGUGUUUGGCUUCAAAGGGUUGAUGGCACACACAAUGGGUAGGACAUGAGGUUUUAUUUAGUGGCUAGAACAUGCAUAGCCUAAGAUCAUCUCUCAAGGUCCAUCCAACUCAAAAGUAAAAGCAUGAGAUGAUUCCAAAAUAGAGAUUAGUUCUUAGUAUUCAAUUCAAAAGCCUAAUUGAGAUCAAUUUAAAUAAGAAAGAAAGAAAAUAGUGAAUAAGACUAAUCCCAAAUACUCUCUCAAUGAAUGGCAAUUUGGCUCAAGUAUCUCACAAUGGUAGUCUCCACUAUUUCUCCACAAUCAUCCAAGUGUAGCUAGCUUGUCUAUUAAAAUACUUGAAGCAUGGCCAUGUGAAGUGCUAUACUUAUGAUGCAUAAACUUUCAUGGCAACACUUUAGUUAAAGAAAUAUGAUCAAACAUCACACAUACAUCACUAUUAGUAAGAGAAAGUAAAAGCUUUAACAAAAUUUUUAUUUUUUUUUUAUUUUUAAAAGUUAAAGGCAUUUUGUGAUUUUUUUUUUUCAAACAAAUGUGAGUGAAUUUAUGGGCCAUAAUUGCUUAGGGAUAAAGAAAUUUCAUCAAAAGGAAGAGGACACACCUGGAAUAGCUCCUAGAAGCCUCUGAUCACAAAUGGAAUGGAUCAUAAUUGAUUUGGAAUGAAAUUAGAAAAUUCUGGAGCGACGAAAAAUCUGAUGAACACCGUCGCUAAAAACCCUUUAGCAACGAAAAAUCCGAUGAACACCGUCGCUAAAAACCCUUUUGUGACGAAAAAGCUUCAUAUUUCUGGGUAGAUAGCAGCUAGUCUUUUUUGGGUUUUAGGCCACUUUUUUAGCUUCAAAUCU